rnacentral:rRNA from 1 species
CUACGGGUCGCAGCAGUGGGGAAUAUUGCACAAUGGAGGAAACUCUGAUGCAGCAACGCCGCGUGGAGGAUGACACUUUUCGGAGCGUAAACUCCUUUUAUAUAGGAAGAAGAUGACGGUACUAUAUGAAUAAGCGCCGGCUAACUCCGUGCCAGCAGCCGCGGUAAUACGGAGGGCGCAAGCGUUACUCGGAAUCACUGGGCGUAAAGAGCGUGUAGGCGGAUUAAAAAGUCAGAAGUGAAAUCCUAUAGCUUAACUAUAGAACUGCUUCUGAAACUCUUAAUCUAGAAUAUGGGAGGGUAGAUGUAAUUUCUGGUGUAGGGGUAAAAUCCGUAGAGAUCAGAAGGAAUACCGAUUGCGAAGGCGAUCUACUAGAACAUUAUUGACGCUGAGACGCGAAAGCGUGGGGAGCAAACAGGAUUAGAUACCCUCGUAGUC